AGAUCUUUUAUGUCAAGCUUGUGAGCAAUCGUCUCAUCAACCAGCCACUUUGCAUUUUUCACAGCUUCCCUCUGAAAAUAUAGAGGAAGAUCAAGUAUUAUUCAUGUCUCAACAUUAAAAGAAGAUUAAUCUCUCUUUAAUUUCAAUGAUUUUUUUACCUGAAAGGUUGAGUUUUUGGUGUAGCUGUAGGUGCCAUCUCCACCAUUCAUCGGAUGUGAUUCAGGCAUUGUGGCAGUGCUGUCGCUCAUCUCUCUUCUGUAUGUGCAAUGCCUCACGUUUUGGUACUUAUUUAUUCUCAUCAUCAUUCAUACUUUUCAAAUGUAACAUCAUGAAUUUUCACAACCUUAGUUUUGACAAUGAUCAAAAUUUGGGAUUGAAAUCUUGGAAAUUCAAAAUUUGCGACUUCAAGUAGUUUUACUAUCUUCAUAAAUCACGUGUGCUUUCUUUGACAAUUAUUUACAAGACAAGUCAGAGUAAAAAUGUGGGUUUUUUUCUUAUAUGAAAUGGUGUUUUAUUAGUUUCAACUCCACACAGAAUUUAGCAUGAAUAAAGCAAAUUAAGCAUAUUUAUUAUUGAAUUACUAGAAAUCACUGAUAACUAGUUGAAAAUUAUUUAUUUAUUAUACAUAUCACACAUAACAAGCACAAAAUUAAAUCAUUUGCGUUGAAGCACGUAGUAAGAUUGAAUUUUAUCCUUGUAAGCUCUUUCCAUCUUGUCGAAGACCUUGGGAAGUUGAUUUACCAGUAACUGAUCGAAUAUUUCAUCCACAAUUUCUUCUGAGAAGUGUUUGGAGAACAUUCCUUCCAUUGGAGCCCGGAUGUGCCUCACGUAUUCUUUCAUUUCAACAUGCACUGUAUCUUUUAGCCAAGGAGCUGGAUUUGUUA
rnacentral:lncRNA from 1 species